rnacentral:rRNA from 1 species
GACGAACGCUGGCGGCGUGCUUAACACAUGCAAGUCGAACGAAGAGCGAUGGACGCUUGCUUCUAUCACUCUUAGUGGCGAACGGGUGAGUAACGCGUAAUCAACCUGCCCUUCAGAGGGGGACAACAGUUGGAAACGACUGCUAAUACCGCAUACGAUCCAAUCUCGGCAUCGGGACUGGAUGAAAGGUGGCCUCUAUUUAUAAGCUAUCACUGAAGGAGGGGAUUGCGUCUGAUUAGCUAGUUGGAGGGGUAACGGCCCACCAAGGCGAUGAUCAGUAGCCGGUCUGAGAGGAUGAACGGCCACAUUGGGACUGAGACACGGCCCAGACUCCUACGGGAGGCAGCAGUGGGGAAUCUUCCGCAAUGGACGAAAGUCUGACGGAGCAACGCCGCGUGAGUGAUGACGGCCUUCGGGUUGUAAAGCUCUGUUAAUCGGGACGAAUGGUUCUUGUGCGAAUAGUGCGAGGAUUUGACGGUACCGGAAUAGAAAGCCACGGCUAACUACGUG